UGAAUGUGUCUGUAGUGACUCCAC
rnacentral:piRNA from 1 species